UGGGGAAUUUUGGACAAUGGGCGAAAGCCUGAUCCAGCCAUGCCGCGUGAGUGAAGAAGGCCUUCGGGUUGUAAAGCUCUUUUAGUCGGAAAGAAAAAAUCAUGGUUAAUAGCCAUGAUUUAUGACGGUACCGACAGAAAAAGCACCGGCUAACUACGUGCCAGCAGCCGCGGUAAUACGUAGGGUGCGAGCGUUAAUCGGAAUUACUGGGCGUAAAGGGUGCGCAGGCGGCCUUGUAAGUCAGAUGUGAAAGCCCCGGGCUUAACCUGGGAAUUGCGUUCGAAACUGCAAAGCUAGAGUGCAGCAGAGGGGAGUGGAAUUCCAUGUGUAGCAGUGAAAUGCGUAGAGAUGUGGAAGAACACCGAUGGCGAAGGCAGCUCCCUGGGUUGACACUGACGCUCAUGCACGAAAGCGUGGGGAGCAAACAGGAUUAGAGACCCGUGUAG
rnacentral:rRNA from 1 species